rnacentral:rRNA from 1 species
UUCCGUAGGGUGAACCUGCGGAGGGAUCAUUG